AUCAAAGUGUCUGAAUGAUUGAGACCUUGAU
rnacentral:piRNA from 1 species